GAGUUUGAUCCUGGCUCAGGAUGAACGCUAGCGGUAGGCUUAACACAUGCAAGUCGAGGGGUAACGAUGUCUUCGGACAGGCGACGACCGGCGCACGGGUGAGUAACGCGUAUGCAACCUACCCAUUGCUGGAGGAUAGGCCGAAGAAAUUCGGAUUAAUACUCCAUACCAUCAUUUUACUCAUGUUUUUAUGAUUAAAGUUCCGGCGGCAAUGGAUGGGCAUGCGUGACAUUAGUUUGUUGGUGAGGUAACGGCUCACCAAGACUGCGAUGUCUAGGGGGUCUUAAAGGAUGAUCCCCCACACUGGUACUGAGACACGGACCGACUCCUACGGGAGGCAGCAGUGAGGAAUAUUGGUCAAUGGGCGAAAGCCUGAACCAGCCAAUCCGCGUGCAGGAUGACGGCCCUAUGGGUUGUAAACUGCUUUUGUACGAGAAGAACUCUCUGACGUGUCAGAGGCUGACUGUACCGUACGAAUAAGCAUCGGCUAACUCCGUGCCAGCAGCCGCGGUAAUACGGAGGAUGCAAGCGUUAUCCGGAUUUAUUAGGUUUAAAGGGUGCGUAGGCUGAAUAGUCAGUCAGUGGUGAAAUCCUACAGCUUAACUGUAGAACUGCCAUUGAUACUGCUAUUCUUGAGUUCAGUUGAGGUAGGCGGAAUGUGUAGUGUAGCGGUGAAAUGCUUAGAUAUUACACAGAACACCGAUUGCGAAGGCAGCUUACUAAACUGACACUGACGCUGAAGCACGAAAGCGUGGGGAGCGAACAGGAUU
rnacentral:rRNA from 1 species